UGCUCUACCCACAUACUUCCAAAACUCAACCAGAAUUUCAUCUCGCCCGGUCUCUCUACCCCUACUCAUCUUAUGCAACGCCCCCACGACCUCCUCCACAUUAAUGCGCCUACAAUACCUAAAAUCUCGAAGACUAUCCGAAUGCCCCAAGUCCCCUAGCUCUAUAUCCCAGUCCCCUCCUCAUUAGUAGACCAUAAAAGUGCGUCUGUCAUCUCUGCUUAAUCUAGGACUCUCCCAUAAAUACUAUACCAUCC
rnacentral:lncRNA from 1 species